UACGUACUGUGCGAACGUUAUUCGGAAUCACUGGGCUUAAAGGGUGUGUAGGCGGCCCGAUCAGUAGGGUGUGAAAGGCUUCGGCUCAACCGGAGCACUGCGCUCUAGACUUUCGGGCUCGAGCAAGACAGGGGUGUGCGGAACUUCCAGUGGAGCGGUGAAAUGUGUUGAUAUUGGAAGGAACACCGGUGGCGAAAGCGGCACACUGGGUCUUGUCUGACGCUGAGACACGAAAGCCAGGGGAGCGAACGGG
rnacentral:rRNA from 2 species